CCCCCCCCCCCCCCCCCCCACACCGGUACCGCCGUGCUGCGGGCCACCGGCUGUGCAUCCAAACAAGACAGCAAAAUCAAGACAGAUGGAGCUUUCUCGGAUCAGCCUCAGGCACAGAAUCACAACCAGAUAGUGUUCCAAAACCCUCUGAACGAUCACGCUGGCUGUUCCUUUGGCAGCAGCAGCAGUGAUAGAAGGAGUCGUUGUUCAGGGCCUGCACAGGAAGAGACUAGGUUUAGUUGGCGUUCAGAUGAUCCCCUUAGCAGACCGUCGCCCUGAGGUCAGGGCCGUUCAGCGAGGUCCAGACCAGACUCAAGCGUCUCUUCUUGAAGCUUUCUACGAUGAGCAUGACCCACAAUGCAUCAUAAUGAGUCCACAAUAAGACGUUGAGAUGCCAAUCAUGUUGGAGUUGGGCUUCUUCCUCCACUAUGCCAUUUUGACGCCAGGAUGAGAAUGAGCACACACACGUGUUCUGCAGAGCAAUGAGUCUGGUCCUUUCAGAGUUGAAGGCCCAAUUUAAAGCCAAAAUUGAACCGUAUAUUUAAUAUAUAGACUACGUCUACUACAUGUGUCAAAUGUGCAAAAGAAAGUUUGUUUAUGAGUUAUGCAGAGCAUCAUUUAUAUUGUACAUUAUCUUUAUAGUUAUACGCAUGCUGUCUUAAGAAUCCCAAUGGUGUUUCAGAAAAGCUGGCCAAUGUUUAUUGCGAAUACACAUAUAUAUCUAUAUAUACACACACAUACACAGGUAUAUUAUAUCUUAUAAUACUGUAUAUAUAAUGUUAAUUUUUCUUGUCAGUAAUCUUUUCUGUGUUUUUUCUAAAGGAAUGCCACACUGCUCCCUGACUUCACUUGGUAUCUCUUUAAUACACAACAUGACGUCUAACAUGUGGCAGGAACAUCCCAGAAGCACUCUGGAUAGCUACUGCAGCCCAUUAAGGUUCACUCACAGCUUACAGGGAACUGUACCCCCUAAAGGUUCACUCACAGCUAUCAGGGAACUGUACCCCCUAAAGGUUCACUCACAGCUAACAGGGAACUGUACCCCCUAAAGGUUCACUCACAGCUAACAGGGUACUGUACCCCCUAAAGAUUAUGACCACUUACAGCUAACAGGGUACUGUACCCCAUAAAGGUCAUGUCCACUAACAACUUACAGGAUACUGUACCCCCUAAAUUCCCCCUUACAGCUAACAGGGUACUGUACCCCCUCAAGGUCAUGUCCACUAACAACUAGCCCUAAAGGAUCACUAACAUCUUACAGUCAUGGACAUUUGGUGGAAAUAGGAUUAGAUGGAAACUUGAAAUAGUUUAAACAUUUCCGGGGGACCACAGCUAUUAGUGUUUUAGUAAUGGAACUGAGAACAGGUUUACACAUAUUCCACUGUUAGGACUUGUAUGUCUAUCAAUUGAGAUGAUAAUCAUGCAGGCCUAUUAAUUAGUGUUCUACAUAAAAUCAUUUACGAAAUGAUCAAAGAUUAAGAGGGAAAUAAAUUAGUGUUCAAUCAAAACAAUUAUAUAUUUCCCAAUAUAUGUAUAUUUUUAUAAGGUAUGAAAGAACAGGUUAGCAUAAGUGAAACCAUGACUAUAUUAAGCCUCUUAUCAUAAAUUCAAUAGCCUCCGAGUUUAAAAAAAAAUCUUUCCCACACUAAUAGUUCACGAAAGCAUUGUGCUUGUUAAGCUCUUAGCCCCUGCAUUACGGAACAUCUGCCCUGCCCUCAAUACCUUCCAAUCAUUAUCAUCAGGUAAAACUGUCUGUGCCUCGAAUGGCUCAGAGAUAAACGCACUGAAGGCUAACAUCACACUGAAGUCAACAUACCCCUAUAAUCAACCUACCCCUAACAUCAACAUACCGUUACCAUGCCACUGAAAUCAACAUACCCCUACAUUUUGCCAAAGUAGACGAGAAGGAAGGGGUCAGGAAGAAUAGCUGCUGUGUUGGACUGAUUAGAUAUUUAUUCAGAAUCAUGUCUAUAAUAUUAUUAUUUAUUGUGGCUAAACUAAAAUGUCUAUGUCGAGUCCCAUUUGUUUUAUGCUGGUUGUGAUUUGUAGAAUUGUCACAGGCCUAAUUUAUUUUGAUUCAUAUUCUGUGAAACCGGAUACAUUUUGCACAAAAUGUUAAAUACAUGUUAGAAAUCGAUUUGUUUCUUAUGGUAGAUUAAAACCAAAAUCCUUUU